rnacentral:rRNA from 1 species
AGCGAACGCUGGCGGCAGGCCUAACACAUGCAAGUCGAACGAACUCUUCGGAGUUAGUGGCGGACGGGUGAGUAACACGUGGGAACGUGCCUUUAGGUUCGGAAUAACUCAGUGAAACUUGAGCUAAUACCGGAUGUGCCCUUCGGGGGAAAGAUUUAUCGCCUUUAGAGCGGCCCGCGUCUGAUUAGCUAGUUGGUGAGGUAAAGGCUCAUCAAGGCGACGAUCAGUAGCUGGUCUGAGAGGAUGAUCAGCGACAUUGGGACUGAGACACGGCCCAAACUCCUACGGGAGGCAGCAGUGGGGAAUCUUGCGCAAUGGGCGAAAGCCUGACGCAGCCAUGCCGGGUGAAUGAUGAAGGUCUUAGGAUUGUAAAAUUCUUUCACCGGGGACGAUAAUGACGGUACCCGGAGAAGAAGCCCCGGCUAACUUCGUG